rnacentral:rRNA from 1 species
AGAAUCAACGCUGGCGGCGUGCCUAACACAUGCAAGUCGAACGCGAAAGUCCCGAGAGGGAUAAGUAGAGUGGCAAACGGGUGAGUAACACGUGGGUGACCUGCCUUCGAGCGGGGGAUAACGUCCCGAAAGGGACGCUAAUACCGCAUAACAUCCUGCCUUUUAAGAGGUGGAGAUCAAAGCCGGGGACCGCAAGGCCUGGCACUUGAAGAGGGGCCCGCGUCUGAUUAGCUAGUUGGUGGGGUAAUGGCCUACCAAGGCAACGAUCAGUA